CAAUAGCGUAUAUUAAAGUUGUUGCGCCCAUUGGAUGUCUGCUGAGAACGACCGGUCCGCCCAUUGGGUGUGUAUCUGGCUCUUUCUUGGCAUCUUCUUGGCGAACGUUGCUGCACUUGACUGUGUGGAGCGCUACCCAGGACUUUUACUUUGAGGAAAUUAGAAUGUUUCAAGCAAGCAUACGCCUUGAAUGCAUUGGCAUGGAAUGAUAAGAUAGGACAUCGGUUCUAUUUUGUUGGUUUCUAGAGCUGAGGUAAUGAUUAAUGGGGAUAGUUGGGGGGCAUUCGUAUUUAACUGUCAGAGGUGAAAUUCUUGGAUUUGUUGAAGACGGACCACUGCGAAAGCAUUUGCCAAGGAUGUUUUCAUUG
rnacentral:rRNA from 1 species